GAUGAACGCUGACAGCAUGCUUAACACAUGCAAGUCGAUGGGGAAGUGGUGCUUGCACCAUGGCAACCAUGGCGGACGGGUGAGUAACGCGUAAGGGACUUACCUGCAGGACUGGGAUAACAGGGGGAAACUCCUGACAAGACCGGAUAAUGUCAUGGAGCUGCAUGGCUUUAUGAUGAAAGGAGACGCCUGCGGAGAGCCUUGCGUCCUAUUAGCUAGUUGGUGAGGUAAUGGCUCACCAAGGCGAAGAUAGGUAGCCGGCCUGAGAGGGUGGACGGCCACAAGGGGACUGAGAUACGGCCCUUACUCCUACGGGAGGCAGCAGUGGGGAAUAGUGGACUAUGGGGGCAACCCUGAUCCAGCAAUUCUGUGUGCACGAAGAAGGUUUUCGGAGUGUAAAGUGCUUUCAGCAGGGAAGAAGUAAGUGACGGUACCUGCAGAAGAAGCGACGGCUAAAUACGUG
rnacentral:rRNA from 1 species